rnacentral:rRNA from 1 species
UACGUAGGGUGCGAGCGUUAAUCGGAAUUACUGGGCGUAAAGCGUGCGCAGGCGGUUUUGUAAGUCAGAUGUGAAAUCCCCGGGCUUAACCUGGGAACUGCGUUUGUGACUGCAUGGCUGGAGUGCGGCAGAGGGGAAUGGAAUUCCGCGUGUAGCAGUGAAAUGCGUAGAUAUGCGGAGGAACACCGAUGGCGAAGGCGAUCCCCUGGGCCUGCACUGACGCUCAUGCACGAAAGCGUGGGGAGCAAACAGG